GCAUCGGUGGUUCAGUGGUAGAAUGCUCGCCUGCUACGCGGGCGGCUCCGGGUUCGACUCCCGCCUUCGAUGCA